UGGGUUAAGUCCUGUAACGAGCGCAACCCUUGUCCUUAUUUGCCAGCGCGUAAUGGCGGGAACUCUAAGGAGACUGCCGGUGACAAACCGGAGGAAGGUGGGGACGACGUCAAGUCAUCAUGGCCCUUACGAGUAGGGCUACACACGUGCUACAAUGGUCGGUACAAAGGGUUGCGAGCUCGCGAGAGUCAGCCAAUCCCGAAAAGCCGAUCUCAGUCCGGAUCGGAGUCUGCAACUCGACUCCGUGAAGUCGGAAUCGCUAGUAAUCGUAGAUCAGAAUGCUACGGUGAAUACGUUCCCGGGCCUUGUCCCCACCCCCCUUCACGCCAUGGGAUUGGACUCCACCAGAAGUGGUUAGCCUACCUCAAGAAGCCGAUCAGCCA
rnacentral:rRNA from 1 species